ACGAACGCUGGCGGCACGCUUAACACAUGCAAGUCGAACGAGAGAAGAGAAGCUUGCUUUUCUGAUCUAGUGGCGGACGGGUGAGUAACACGUGAGCAAUCUGCCUUUCAGAGGGGGAUACCGAUUGGAAACGAUCGUUAAUACCGCAUAAUAUAAUUGAACCGCAUGAUUUGAUUAUCAAAGAUUUAUCGCUGAAAGAUGAGCUCGCGUCUGAUUAGCUAGUUGGUAAGGUAACGGCUUACCAAGGCGACGAUCAGUAGCCGGACUGAGAGGUUGAUCGGCCACAUUGGGACUGAGACACGGCCCAGACUCCUACGGGAGGCAGCAGUGGGGAAUAUUGCACAAUGGAGGAAACUCUGAUGCAGCGAUGCCGCGUGAGGGAAGAAGGUUUUAGGAUUGUAAACCUCUGUCUUCAGGGACGAAAAAAGACGGUACCUGAGGAGGAAGCUCCGGCUAACUACGUGCCAGCAGCCGCGGUAAUACGUAGGGAGCGAGCGUUGUCCGGAAUUACUGGGUGUAAAGGGAGCGUAGGCGGGAUCGCAAGUCAGAUGUGAAAAUUAUGGGCUUAACCCAUAAACUGCAUUUGAAACUGUGGUUCUUGAGUGAAGUAGAGGUAAGCGGAAUUCCUAGUGUAGCGGUGAAAUGCGUAGAUAUUAGGAGGAACAUCAGUGGCGAAGGCGGCUUACUGGGCUUUAACUGACGCUGAGGCUCGAAAGCGUGGGGAGCAAACAGGAUUAGAUACCCUGGUAGUCCACGCCGUAAACGAUGAUUACUAGGUGUGGGGGGACUGACCCCUUCCGUGCCGCAGCAAACGCAAUAAGUAAUCCACCUGGGGAGUACGACCGCAAGGUUGAAACUCAAAGGAAUUGACGGGGGCCCGCACAAGCAGUGGAGUAUGUGGAUUAAUUCGAAGCAACGCGAAGAACCUUACCAGGUCUUGACAUCGUAUGCAUAGCUCAGAGAUGAGUGAAAUCUCUUCGGAGACAUAUAGACAGGUGGUGCAUGGUUGUCGUCAGCUCGUGUCGUGAGAUGUUGGGUUAAGUCCCGCAACGAGCGCAACCCUUACUGUUAGUUGCUACGCAAGAGCACUCUAGCAGGACUGCCGUUGACAAAACGGAGGAAGGUGGGGAUGACGUCAAAUCAUCAUGCCCCUUAUGACCUGGGCCUCACACGUACUACAAUGGCUGUCAACAGAGGGAUGCAAAGCCGCGAGGUGGAGCGAACCCCUAAAAGCAGUCUUAGUUCGGAUUGUAGGCUGCAACCCGCCUACAUGAAGUCGGAAUUGCUAGUAAUCGCAGAUCAGCAUGCUGCGGUGAAUACGUUCCCGGGCCUUGUACACACCGCCCGUCACGCCAUGGGAGUCGGUAACACCCGAAGCCUGUAGUCUAACCGCAAGGAGGACGCAGUCGAAGGUGGGAUUGAUGACUGGGGUG
rnacentral:rRNA from 1 species